GGGGCAACGCAGUUCCUAAACAGCGAUGUGCGAAUCGUGAGUUCCAAGAGUUGCGGAUUCCAGGAGCCUUGCACGGUGACGUCACAAGGCUGCCAAGAAAAGGGAGAUUACGUAUUCAUUCCAGCGGAAUAUCUCCAACACCUGGGGCCCUUAACGGCGGAAACAAAUGAAAGUGCUGCGUAUACCUUCGUGCACGAGUGGGCGCACCUAAGGUAUGGUGUUUUUGACGAGUACGGUACCAGGGGAGACGAUUCCUUUCCAGAGACCUACUGCGUCGAUGGCGAGGUGCAACUGAGUGCAUGUUCAGAAAAUAUACCUUUUACCGCCAAUCUAAACAAUGGCUCACCUUGCCCGACUGAUGAAAAAUGCCACUUCGGAGAAGACUGCAUUGUCAAGCCCUAUAUUGGCCAUAAAACCCUUGCAGAAAGCUCCAUUAUG